rnacentral:rRNA from 1 species
GACGAACGCUGGCGGCGUGCUUAACACAUGCAAGUCGAACGAAGUGGCGAACGGGUGAGUAAUACGUGGGUAACCUGCCCUCCUUUUUGGGAUAAGCCUUGGAAACGGGGUCUAAUACCGAAUAAAGGGGGAUGGGCUCGCGGCCUAUCAGGUUGUUGGGGGGGUGAUGGCCUACCAAGGCGGUGACGGGUCGCCGGCCUGAGAGCGUGACCGGGCACCAUGGGAGUGGGAUACGGCCCAGACUCCUACCGGUGGCAGCAGUGGGGGAUAUUGCACAAUGCGCGAAAGCCUGAUGCAGCGACGCCGCGUGGGGUAUGAAGGCUUUCGGGUUGGAAACCUCUGUCGCUAUAGAACGGGUAGGUGGAGAAGAAGCGCCGGCUAACUACGUGCCAGCAGCCGCGGUAAUAC